rnacentral:rRNA from 1 species
UACGUAGGGUCCGAGCGUUGUCCGGAAUUACUGGGCGUAAAGAGCUCGUAGGUGGUUUGUCACGUUGUUCGUGAAAACCCACAGCUCAACUGUGGGCGUGCGAGCGAUGCGGGCAGACUAGAGUACUGCAGGGGAGAACGGAAUUCCUGGUGUAGCGGUGAAAUGCGCAGAUAUCAGGAGGAACACCGGUGGCGAAGGCGGUUCUCUGGGCAUGAUCUGACGCUGAGGAGCGAAAGUGUGGGGAGCGAGCAGG